AUUGAACGCUGGCGGCAGGCCUAACACAUGCAAGUCGAACGAGUGGCGGACGGGUGAGUAAUGUCUGGGAAACUGCCUGAUGGUGGGGGAUAACUACUGGAACCGGUAGCUAAUACCGCAUACCAUCAGAUGUGCCCAGAUGGGAUUAGCUAGUUGGUCGGGUAACGGCUCACCAAGGCGACGAUCCCUAGCUGGUCUGAGAGGAUGACCAGCCACGCUGGAACUAAGACACGGCCCAGACUCCUACGGGAGGCAGCAGUGUGGAUAAUUGCACCAUGGGCGCAAGCCUGAUGAAGUCAUGCCGCGUGUAUGAAGAAGGCCUUCGUGUGGUAAAGUACUUUCAGCGGGGAGGCGUUACCCGCAGAAGAAGCACCGGCUAACUCCGUGCCAGCAGCCGCGGUAAUUC
rnacentral:rRNA from 1 species